rnacentral:rRNA from 1 species
CCUACGGGGGGCAGCAGUGGGGAAUAUUGGACAAUGGGGGCAACCCUGAUCCAGCCAUGCCGCGUGUGUGAAGAAGGCCCUCGGGUUGUAAAGCACUUUCAGUGAGGAAGAACGCCUGGUGGUUAAUACCCAUCAGGAAAGACAUCACUCACAGAAGAAGCACCGGCUAACUCCGUGCCAGCAGCCGCGGUAAUACGGAGGGUGCGAGCGUUAAUCGGAAUUACUGGGCAUAAAGCGCGCGUAGGUGGCUUGAUAAGCCGGUUGUGAAAGCCCCGGGCUCAACCUGGGAACGGCAUCCGGAACUGUCAAGCUAGAGUGCAGGAGAGGAAGGUAGAAUUCCCGGUGUAGCGGUGAAAUGCGUAGAGAUCGGGAGGAAUACCAGUGGCGAAGGCGGCCUUCUGGACUGACACUGACACUGAGGUGCGAAAGCGUGGGUAGCAAACAGGAUUAGAUACCCUAGUAGUC